CGAGACCUCCCUGCACGUGCACAUGCGGCAUAGGGAAAUAAUAAAUCAAGAAUAAAACUACGAAUGAGCAAGCGCCGCAAAAGAGCACUCAGCGAAUCGGCAAGAAACGCGUCACUCAGGCAGCCUAGAUGAGGCGAAGAGACCCCGUCGGCAGCGAGGCGGAGCUGAGGAUCCAGGAAGACGCGUUGGCUUGAGUCGGGUGUCCACGUUCGGGAAGCCAACCGCUGUCGGAGGGACUCCGUCGAGCGACGCAGCAUCAACCUAACUGAAAUGAAACGCUCUCUGGAAGACAAACGGAAAGCACAAGGUGAACACAGUAAACCUCAUUCGGGCGCAUAUUGCGACACCGGAAGUGAGAAUAGUCAUUCGCUGAAGGUAUCAUCGGCUGCUCGGAGCAAUGCAAAAGAGAAUGAGAAGUCCGCGGAUAGCGGUAUGCCAUCAUUUAUUGCCAUUCUAGACGAAGUGUUGGACCGAAAUGACAGAUCUAGAACUACAAACGAGCCAGCUUCGUCUCAGGGCAAUAGCCCAGUCAGCUCCGGCCAGGAUAACCGCCUUGGAAGCAGCGGCACAGGCAGACCUGAAAUUAGGCCAUUACUGAAAGAAGUUGACGUCAAACAUGACGCAAGACUGAAUCUGCAUGAAGCCAUACAGUGUGAUAUAAAGGGCGAAUAUGUUUCUGUAGAAGACACACGGGAACAAAAUGCAACUCCUGCAAAUGACCCUGGAAGUAGGUCUUCGCUACAUGGACUCUACUUCGAGGAUGGCCCACAGGUAGAUGUUCAAGAAUUCCUGAUUAAGUACGCUAUAACAAGAAGUAAAGAAAUUGUGGAAACUGAGGAGUCCACUGAUAGCGAUGUGUCCUUAUUUACUGCCGCCUUGGACGAAUUGUUGGAGAGAACCAGCAGCGCUGAUACUACAAACCAGCCAGCAGUGCCUCAGGACGACGUUCCAAUCGCAGAGCAGGAUGGGUGUCCUGGAUGCAGCCGCACAAACAGCCCUGGAAGUAGCUAUUUACCGCAAGCGCACUCUAUCCAACAGAACCCAAGACUGAAUCUUCAAGAAGCCAUAGGCGACAUUCAGAUUGGAGACGUUUCCAUAGUAGGCACAAGAAAAGAGGAUGUGACCCCUGCAAGUAGCCCUGGAAGUAGCCCUUCCCUACAUGCGCCUUACUUCGAGGAUGGUCCACAGGUAGAUCUACGAUUAGUUCUGAAUGGUAACGUUCCAACAGAACACACAAAGAGGGGCUGUAUUCAUGAUUAUCUUGGAACAGUGGGUAGCCCUUCCCUGCAUGGACUUUACUUCGACGUUGGCCCGCUGGUAAACGCGCCGGAAUGUUUUACUAGCUACCCUUCAGGAAGCAUAGAGGGGUGCUGUAUUGACCACUAUUUUGGAAGAGUGAGUAGCACUUGCUUACCUGGACUACCAUCUGAGGAUGACCCACAGGUAAAUCUGCCGGGAGUUCCCACUAGCUAUCUUCAAACAAGAAACACAGAUGGAGUCUCCAUUGACCAUGAGGUUGGAACAGUGAGUGAAAUUCCUGGUAGCGCCUACGGUGUUAGUAACAAAGAAUGCACAGGCACACGGUCUAUUUCGACGAUCAACUCGGCUUCCAAAGAGGUCGCUCUGUCUCUUCGUUCAGCUUCAGCUACAUACAAUGAACAGGACCAUGGUCACCACCUGAGCAGAGAUGAUUACACCACAAUGACCAACGGCAAGGAUGCAGAAGUGCAAGUCCAUGACGUUCAGCACGUCCCAGUAUUUCAGCAAGAUAAUACUUAUUUUACGGACAAUGUAAACGUUAUCCCUGAUAUCGAUGGCAAUUACAGGGAAUACUCUGCAAGCAUGUGGGAGUUGAUAGAGCUGGCAGAAAAGACAGAUAGUAAAGUUGUCUCCUGCUGUCUUGAUCUACAUAACAAUAAUCAUAACCUUUCUGCCGAAACGCAAUCAGUGGCCUCAAUAAACAAUCUUAGUUAUGAACUCGAACACGGAACACGAACUCUACCUCUGCCACCAUUAGACAAUAUGUUUGAGUGUUAUGAAACACGCGGCACUGCUGCUAAGAGUGAUAACUCUUUUGUGGCCGCUUCAACAAAUAUUCGCGACUCGGCUUCAGAGAUUAUGUUUAGCAAAGCUGCAGAGCCUCACGGCUUUGAAGAUGCUGGUCCACAUGACGCAGCACCGGUCGCAGUAUCUUGCAGCGUUAUCGCACCGGCUACUCACCUUAAUAAUGACCCAAGUUUGACAAACUUUACGGAAUCAGGUCGCCUUUACAUUGCUCAAGCACACGAGACUAUCCAUUUUCGAAAGCCGUCUCCCACCGUUCCGUUCGUAAACAGCUGCAAGCGCCAGGAGCCAGAGCUGUUGCUGACGUCAUCAAAGGGGCCACUAAAGCAAGUCGUUGCUGGCUUGGUAGGACGGAAUCAGAGUAUACACUCUUCAACAGUAACUGACGGUGGUGAAGUUUGCACUAGUUCAUUUCACUCUGAAAACGACAGUUUGCUUCAUGCCUCGCCUUUAUCAUUAGCAGGACUCAGUGAUACUGAGGAAAUUGAAUUUGAUAAUGACUUCGUAAAAUUGCUUUCGUCGUCCACCUCAUUGUUUGGCAUAGAAGACUCUGACGAUAAUGAUUUAAUCCUGAAUGAGGAUAUCAAUGUGAGUAGGUGCUGCCAAAAACGCCGAUCAGAGCGUUUUAAAACAUAUCUUCCUACAGUUCGCUCGAGCAGCAGUACCGCCACGGACCUCCAGCAAGACCCUAAUCUACAGACCAGCCAUAGGACCCCCUUUGAUGGGGUGGGAGCGGAGCACCCGCAGAAAGAUGUAACGACGUGGAGCAAUGCCUCUGGCGCGGUCGAAUCAAAGUGCACCAAGACAGAUGACGUACUGACGGGCAGUAGUGCCUCCACUUGUGCACCAAAGCAUCCAGAGGAACGUCUUCAUAUGACGACGGCCAGCAGUGCCACAACUGAAAGAUCGACAAGAGCUUGCACCACAAACGCCGUUGCAGUCGAAAGACCAUCUGCUUCGGCAAGCUCCACACCCACUCGCGCAAGCUCAUCUAAAAGACCGUCCGUCGAAGCAAGCGUUAAGUUUCCAAAGAAAGUGCGUUCUCCGUACGUCAGUAAUGACCCGACAGAAAUCAAUGGCAACGAAAACCCAGCUUGGGAAUCUCUGCGAAGGCUCAGCACCGAGGACGAGCGAUACGAAGCCGCGCGUAGAGUUUAUAGUAACAAACCCAUUCCGGAUUCCCAUGAAGACUUGUCGACAUAUGGUUAUCGUCGUCAACGCUCACUUGGCCGAAAACCUAUCGACCUCAGACAGGCACGACGCCGCCGAGAGCGUGAGAGGUCAAAUCCCGGCUCUUCCAAACAUUGAAAGCGUCUCCGCAUGGCCACCGAAAUAUUCGAUGAAAAUAUUAAAAAAGCCCAAAAAGACAAGAAGAGAGAGAGCUUUCAUUAGCCCGCGAUAAGCUAAACCGCGGCCUACGCAAGCUGCAUAAAACGAGGAGGAGCAAAGGGUCGAGCUGGAGGAGCGCACGAGAGGGGGCAGGAGCGAGGAGACACCGGCGGUACCAGACGGUGCCAGAGGAGGAAGGAGAGCGGAGGCACCGACGGUACCAGACGGAGCCAUGGGAGAAACGAGAAAGGGUGCACCGAGUGGUGCCAGAAGGCGCCAGAAGAGGAAGGAGAGAGGAUGCACCAGCGUUACGAGAAGGCGCCACAGGAGUUUCGUUAUUGGCAGAUCCAAAAGCAGUUCUUCCGCGACGACUUGACAGCGCAUGAGCAAAGGACCAUGUACGCGUGUACCUUGAAUAUACAAAAGUUACGCAACGCCAGCGAGGAGGUGCAUCGCGUGAACACUUUCUACGCUGGCCUGAAGGAUUGUGACCCACGGCUGCUGUCGCAUCAUCAGUUGAAGGAACAACUGACGCUAGUAGACAUGCUUGAGUACCUCCAGAAAUUCUACGACCAAGUGGAGCAUUGAUGAACACUGACAUGUUAGCUUGUGAUUGAUCUUGGUUUAUGUGCUUGCUGUAUUUUAAUAAAUUAUUUUCUUUAGAGACAA